rnacentral:tRNA from 1 species
GUAUUUUGGCAGAAAAUAUGCGUAAGAUUUAGGAUCUUAUAAAAUAGAAUUAGUCUAUA